rnacentral:rRNA from 1 species
UACAGAGGUCCCAAGCGUUGUUCGGAUUCAUUGGGCGUAAAGGGUGUGUAGGUGGCGCCGUAAGUCGGGUGUGAAAUCUCGGGGCUUAACUUGGAAACUGCCGUGGAUACUAUAGAUCUUGAAUAUUGUGGAGGUAAGCGGAAUAUGUCAUGUAGCGGUGAAAUGCUUAGAUAUCGCUUGGAACGCCGAAGGUGAAAACAGGCUGCUGGGGUUGCGCCGACGCUGAGACACGAAAGCCAGGGGAGCAAACGGG